UUAACGGUUUGUAAAUAAGGUAUUGUCCAAUCAGGAUUUGUUUGUAAUCAAAAUUGAUUACAGGUAAAAGGUAUACAUGUAAAUGUAUCUCACUUUCUAGCCGUCCUUUGAAGUGUACACAUCAAAAUGGACGCCGAACUUCAAGAGCAGAUCAGAAUUCAAGUCUCGAAUAUUCUGACGGUAAACCAAAAUGACAUGAUGAACCAAAUGCGUUCGAUUAUAUCCAGUGAAAUGGGAAAGAUGCAUGUGCAACAACAACAGCUUGCAGAAACACAGGUUUCCAAGAUAAAAGCUACCUUGACGGAUGGACCCAAAUUCAAGAAACGAGGGAAUGAAGAGCAAUUUAAGCAAAACGUGAAGGUGCUCAGCAAAAUGAAAGAAGCAGACAGUAUAUUGGACGGUAACAAUCCAACGCCAGAUACCGUAUGCAAAGCCAAGGAGAAGUUAGCGGAAGGUAUUUCUUUAAUGAACUAUAAUAGACAAAAGUUAAUACGUAUUGCUGAUUCAUCCGAGCUGGGCUGGCGAGUUGUACAUGAAUAUGAAACCAACCCGCUUGCAGAUGAUUCUGAGGAUGAAAGGAAAUUGUACAAGGCUGAAGAGCGGAAAGAAAGGUGAAAGCUGAUAAGACAAAGAAAGCUAGACGAGUGCAUCCCUACGUACAACCAGCAGAACAAGCAGUUACUAGUAUGACAAGAAAACCAGGCAGAUGUUUUAAUUGUGGUGUAAAAGGUCAUUGGAAACAGGAAUGUCCUGAGAAACAGCAAAGAAAAAAUGAUAAGAUAAGUAAUAUUUAUUCUUUAUAUAGGAAUAAUAUAGAAGUACACGUAGAUAAUUUACGUACAAAGGUUGAUACAAUUAAAUCACCAGUUAAUAGUUUGAGAAAACACAUAAACAAAUGGAAAAUCAUUCAAGCAAGUGAUUACAUUUUAAAUGUUAUUGAAAAAGGGUAUAUGUUACCGUUAAAAACUUUACCUGAGAAUGUUUUAUUAGAUAAUAAUAGAUCAGCUAAAGAAAACAAAUCAUUUGUAACAGAUGAAAUCGAGAAAUUAUUAUCUAAAGGGUGUAUAUCAGAAGUAUUUGUAAAGCCUAAGGUUGUUAAUCCAUUAACGGUUGCAGGUAACAAGGCAAAACUUAGAUUAGUGCUUGACUGUCGUCACAUCAAUCCACAUUUAUAUCAGUUUAGAUAUAAAUAUGAAGAUGCAACUGUUGCAAGAAAAUUGUUUUCUAAGGGUGAUUAUCUGUUUUCUUUUGAUUUGAAGUCAGCUUAUCAUCAUAUAAUGGUACAGCAGGAAGACAGAACAUAUUUGGGUUUUCAGUGGGAGUCUAAAUUUUACAUAUUUAAUGUUUUGUGUUUCAGUUUGGCUACAGCAGGUUUUAUAUUUUCAAAAGUCUUAAGAGAGCUUAUAAAGUAUUGGAGAUCUAACAGUAUUAGGAUCCUAAUGUAUCUUGAUGAUGGUUUAGGGGGUGCUGACAAUUAUGAUGAAUGCACCAAAGUUAGCAAUAGAAUAAGGGCAGACUUAAUUGAUUUUGGUUUCAUUAUUGCUGAGGAAAAGUGUAACUGGAACCCGGUUCAGGUGAUAACUUUUUUGGGAAUGUUAUGGGAUACUUCUGAAGGUAGAAUUAGAAUAACGGAUGAGAGAAUUAACAGGAUAUUAAAAUGUAUAUCCUGCAUUUGUAACAGGUUACCAGACAAACGUGUGAUAUCAGUAAAACUGUUAGCUUCAGUUGUUGGUCAGUUAAUAUCUACACAAGGUGUGUUGGGUACAACUGUAAGGUUAAGGACUCGGUAUGCAUAUGAUUGUGUUCAGGAUAGAACAUCAUGGGAGGCACCGGUCUGGGUUACUCCAGAAGCAGAGGUAGAACUAGAGUUUUGGUUAUCAAACAUAGUAAGGUUAAAUGCGGAUGGUGCAUUAUUUAGUCAGUUGACAAACGGAGCAUGUGAUGUAAGCAUGUUUUCGGAUGCCUCAGGUGAAGGCUAUGGAGGAUAUAUAGCCGAGGCAGGGAACAGCAAAAUGGUAGAAAUGUUUGGUGCAUGGGAUGCACAUGAAACAAACAUGAGUUCUACUUGGAGAGAACUUGAGGCUGUUCAUAGGGUUUUGAAAACUAAUUUGCCUACAUUGAAUGGGCAAAGUGUAAAAAUACAUACUGAUAAUAAGAAUGUUGAAACUAUUUUGAAGGUCGGUAGUAAAAAGACUCACUUGCAAGAUAUAAAUAUGGAAAUUCAAAAUGCAUGUGAACAAAGCAAUGUUUCUUUUUUUUGCGAAAUGGAUACCAAGAGAAAAUAAUACACAUGCAGACACUUUAAGUAGGUUGAACGAUUGCGAUGACUGGGGUGUACAAACAUGGCUGUUUCGUAUGCUAGAUAGAGAGUGGGGUUCUCAUACAGUAGAUCGCUUUGCGGCUUCAUAUUUAACAAAAAAUGUGAUAAAUUUAAUUCAAAGUUUUGGUGUCAGGGAACGAGUGGUGUUGAUGCUUUCAAACAGCACUGGGGUAAAGAAAAUAACUGGUUAGUCCCACCUCCUUCGUUAGUUACAGAAACAGUUAAAAAGAUGUUGAAAGACGGAGCAGUUGGAAUAGGUUUGAGAGACAAAAUUAAGGAUGAUGUUAAAGAAGCCGGAGUAGACGAGGAAUCUGAACUUUUCAAGUAUGCAGAACAUAUGUCCAGUUAUAUUGUGAACAGUAGAAGUGAUAAUACAGCAAAAUCGUACUUUUAUGCAUUUAAACGUUGGGAAACAUUUAUUAAAAAACAUGGUUUUCAAGCUUUACCAGCACAGCCGGUUCAUAUAGCUUUAUAUAUAACUUACUUGCUUGACACUGGUGCUACAUGUAACACUAUUAAUUCUGCUAUAUAUAGUAUAAAAUGGGUGCAUGAAAUGAGUAAUUUUGCAGAUCCAACUAAAAAUUCAUAUUUACAUUCAUUACAAGAAUCUGCCAAGAGGGUGGCUACUGUUAAGAAACACAAGAAGGAUCCCGUUUCAUUAGAUAUGUUAUUGAAAUUGUGUAGCAUGUUUUCAGAUAGCCAAGAUUUACUUGUGGUUCGCGAUUUAACAAUGAUUUUACUGUCUUUUGGUGGGUUUUUGCGUCACGAUGAGAUUAGAUCUCUUUUGUGUAAAAAUGUUGAAGUUAAAUCAGAUUAUUUAAUUUUGUAUAUAGAGAAGAGUAAGACUGACCAGUAUCGUAAUGGUAAUGAGGUUUUAAUUUCCAAGGGGGAUACCAUUGCUUGUCCAUAUGAGAUAUUUUUGAAAUAUGUAAAUCUUUAAGGUGUCAAUUUGGAAUCAAAUUUUUUCCUGUUUAGACCUAUUUUUCGUUCUAAAAGUAUUUGUAAACUUAUAUAUAAAAACAAAAAGCUUAGUUAUUCUACAGCCAGAGAAAGCAUUAUUUCUAGACUGAAACUAGUUUCAAAAUACCUGAAGCUUGGAUUGCAUUCAAUGCGGUCAGGUGGUGCUACUGCUGCAGCAAAUUCGGAUGUUAAUGAUAGGGUAUGGAAACGACACGGUCGUUGGAAAAGUGACAGUAGCAAGGAUGGUUACGUUGUGGAUUCAGUUGAUAAAAGGCCGCAAGUGACCAAGCAUUUGGGGUUGUAAACAUUUUUGUUUUUCAUUACUUCCGGUUCCCCCUAUAUUUGUAAGUUUUCUAGCGUACUUGACGGGCUAGUCGGCAAAAUUAAUAUUGUUCUUAAUUUGUAUAUUAAUUAUGGUAAACGUACAUAGUGUUUAUGUACAAUAUGGUGUAGGCCGGUUAGUAGGUAAUAGAGUAAAUACAUGAAUUUUCCCGCAUUUCGACUAGUAAUAGCGGGAAAAAUGUCUGUAUUAACGGUUUGUAAAUAAGGUAUUGUCCAAUCAGGAUUUGUUUGUAAUCAAAAUUGAUUACAGGUAAAAGGUAUAAAUGUAAAUGUAUCUCACUUUCUAGCCGUCCUUUGAAGUGUACACAUCAAAAUUACAUUUUUGAUAAUAGUUUUCAAUAUCUGAAAGCUGUGGGAGUAUUGUAUAUUUUUAAUUUUUUGAAUUUUCAAUUUCGAAAUGUUAUACAGAUUAUAACUGGCCAGCUAAAGGACGUCUCCGGGUGCGGGAUUUCUCGCUGCAUUGAAGACCUGUUGGUGACCUUCUGCUGUUGUCUAUUCUAUAGUCGGGUUGUUGUCUCUUUGACACAUUCCCCAUUUCCAUUCUCAAUUCUAUUUCCAUUUUAUAACUAUUAGUUUGAUUAUCUUUUACUAGAUUAUCUCAUCGAAAAUUCUCCUACAUUUUUUAAUCGAUUUUUUUUUACAAGAUUUUUGAAACAUGCAUGUUUUAAUAUGUUUUAUAUAUUAAAUGUGUAUGUCAUUUUCAGAAUAAAAACAUUUCGAAAUAAGAUGGUCACUGGACAAUACAUUCUUCCUAUACGGAGUCAUAACAAUAUACAAUAAUUAAACUCAUCAUAGAUACCAGAAUUAAAUUUGUAUUUACGCAAGACGCGCGUUUCGUCUUCAAAAGAACCAUCAGUGACGCUUGAAUCCAUAAAAGUUAAAAAGGCCAAAUAAAAUAUGAAGUUGAAAAGCAUUAUGGACCAAAAUUCCUAAAAGUUUUGCCAAAUACAGCUAAGGUAAUCUAUUCCCGAGGUAGAAAAGCCUUUAAAAAAUCAAAAGUUUAGUAAACAGUUGAUUUAUAAAUUUGACCAAAUCAAAUAAAUGAUAAUUCAUGAUGUCAGUCCAGAAAUGAUGACUACUGGGAAACUGACAUCAAAGCAUUACAUUUCAACUGUAAGUGUUUUUAAAACAAACAAACAAAUAAUGUUUGUGACAAAUCAUUUUUUUUAUUCCG